AGGGUUUGAUCCUGGCUCAGAUUGAACGCUGGCGGUAUGCUUAACACAUGCAAGUCGAACCAGCGGGAGCUUGCUCCUGGCUGACGAGUGGCGGACGGGUGAGUAACGCGUAGGAAUCUGCCUAAUAGAUGGGGACAACUCAGGGAAACUUGAGCUAAUACCGAAUACGCCCUACGGGGGAAAGCGGGGGAUCUUCGGACCUCGCGCUAUUAGAUGAGCCUGCGUUGGAUUAGCUAGUUGGUGAGGUAAUGGCUCACCAAGGCGACGAUCCAUAGCUGGUCUGAGAGGACGAUCAGCCACACUGGGACUGAGACACGGCCCAGACUCCUACGGGAGCCAGCAGUCGGGAAUAUUGGACAAUGGGCGCAAGCCUGAUCCAGCAAUACCGCGUGUGUGAAGAAGGCCUUAGGGUUGUAAAGCACUUUCAGCAGUGAAGAAAUGCUUGAGGUUAAUAACCUUGAGUCUUGACGUUAACUGCACAAGAAGCACCGGCUAACUCCGUGCCAGCAGCCGCGGUAAUACGGGGGGUGCAAGCGUUAAUCGGAUUUACUGGGCGUAAAACGCGCGUAGGUGGUUUGGCAAGUUGGAUGUGAAAGCCCCGGGCUCAACCUGGGAAUUGCAUCCAAAACUGCUAGACUAGAGUGUGGUAGAGGGAAGUGGAAUUCCGGGUGUAGCGGUGAAAUGCGUAGAUAUCCGGAGGAACACCAGUGGCGAAGGCGGCUUCCUGGACCAACACUGACGCUGAGGUGCGAAAGCGUGGGGAGCAAACAGGAUUAGAUAUCCUGGUAGUCCACGCCGUAAACGAUGUCAACUAGCCGUUGGGAGGAUUGCCUCUCUUGGUGGCGCAGCUAACGCGUUAAGUUGACCGCCUGGGGAGUACGGCCGCAAGGUUAACACUCAAAUGAAUUGACGGGGGCCCGCACAAGCGGUGGAGCAUGUGGUUUAAUUCGACGCAACGCGAAGAACCUUGCCACCCCUUGACAUCCUCAGAACUUGUUAGAAAUAACUUGGUGCCUUCGGGAAUUGAGUGACAGGUGCUGCAUGGCUGUCGUCAGCUAGUGUCGUGAGAUGUUGGGUUAAGUCCCGUAACGAGCGCAACCCUUGUCCUUAUUUGCCAGCACGUAAUGGUGGGAACUCUAAGGAGACUGCCGGUGACAAACCGAAGGAAGGUGGGGACGACGUCAAGUCAUCAUGGCCCUUACGACCUGGGCUACACACGUGCUACAAUGGUCGGUACAGAGGGUUGCCAAGCCGCGAGGUGGAGCUAAUCCCAGAAAGCCGAUCUUAGUCCGGAUUGCAGUCUGCAACUCGACUGCAUGAAGUCGGAAUCGCUAGUAAUCGCGAAUCAGAACGUCGCGGUGAAUACGUUCCCGGGCCUUGUACACACCGCCCGUCACACCAUGGGAGUGGGUUGCAAAAGAAGUGGGUAGACUAACCUUCGGGAGGUCGCUCACCACUUUGUGAUUCAUGACUGGGGUGAAGUCGGAACAAGGGGUAGCCG
rnacentral:rRNA from 1 species